rnacentral:misc_RNA from 1 species
CACAGCUCGUCGCAUGUUCGGAUUUCGACGCAAACAAGGACGUCGAGGAAGACGACCGGCCGCUCCCCAUCACUGCACAAGUAACACUAGCUGAUCAUCAUCAUCAUCAUCGGGAGGGAGAGAAAGAGGCUGCGUGGGCGCAGGUUAUCCCAGCCAUGCCUUUACCUUUAGUAGCUGGGCUCUGGAGGCCCUUCAUACUCACCCCCAUUGGUGCUACCAUACUGUUGAUCGCCUCCUGCUGAUCACGCCACGGGGGAGUAGCCGUAGAAAAUCUUCAGCACAGGAUGAGCAACGGCGCCGCGGCCGCGAGCUCGCCUACGGGCACCGCAGCCGCCGGCAACAGCGAGGACUGGGCCGAGUUUUGCGAUAGGCAGGCAAGGUACGCCGCUCAAGAGUUCGCCCGGGCGUUCUGCACGUACGUCAACGUCGAGCUCACCGAGAUCGCCAGGACCAAUCUCUCGUACAAAGACUUUUUGAGGAAGUUCUUUGAGAGAUUCUGCGAUCACUUCGAAGUGGAGUACAGCAAGCGUUCGGUCAGAUCGCCAUCGAGCCAAAAUCUGAGGCUAACAGCAUCCAACAACCGCAUAAGCAAUGCAAUCAGCCAAAACAACAGGAUAUCCGUGAGAGCCUCUUCUAAUGAGGAGUUUGGCAAUCAUUUGCAGCAAAAUGGUGAAAAAACAUCGCCGAAACCCACGCACAAACCUUUCUUCCGGCGCUUGUCUUUCAAGGGUCUGAAAAAAAGUAAGGCGUUCUUUCUUAAGCAGCAAAGCGACGAUACCGAGCGAGCUCACGUAGAAAAUCGCAAGGUCGACAAGCAUUCAAAAACCAAACUUUCGAAAAUCGUCGUCGAAUGUAGAAAAGAAGGAUACGUGAAUGCGAUGGUUGUCGAAAACGCCGAUAAUGCCGAGAACACAAACAUCUCAUUAAAUAACACCGACAACACAGAUGGAUCCCAACAGUUUGAAAAGUGCAGGCUGUCCCUGGUCCGAGCCAGUGCGGGCUACAUGCUCGAGUUCUUUUACUCCUCGAAAUCUAAGCCACGCUACGGCAUAUUUUGCUCGGGUAUAUCGGAGACGCGAGAGACGACGGCUCUCGAGAUGCCCGACAAAGAGAACACCUUUGUUCUAAAAACCGGGGAAAAGGAAUUCAUCAUAGAGGCAAAGGAUCCCGUCGAUAUGAAGUCGUGGCUGGCGACGAUCAAAUAUUGCAUACGAGAUCCCCAGGGAUUGCAGUGCGAGAGCAGUGGAAGCGAUCUAAUUGACGAUGGGAGUUUGAUGCACGGACUCGUCUCGAUGCACGUCGAUGAAGACAGGACUAGGGCUAAUUCUGCGAGCAAAAGUAUCCGUUCCAACACAGAUCAUUUGGAUGAGCACGGCAGUAAUCCACCAGAAUUGCCACCGAGAUUGAAGGCAAGAAGUAGCAGUAACUUGGAGCUGUGCUCAUCGCAACAAGAAAUCGAACAGAUUGCAGGCAACGAGGUAGAAUCUUUUGUAGAUCUUUCAAGUAGUCUCCGAGAGUAUCCGUGGUUUCAUGGAACACUUCCAAGAACCGAUGCUACGAUGUUGGUCUUACACAACGGCACUGACGGCCACGGCACGUUUUUAGUACGACAGAGCGAAACGCGAAAAGGAGAAUACGUUUUGACAUUCAACUUCCAAGGGAAAGCCAAGCAUCUGAGGAUGACGUUGAACGACCAGGGUUGCCGAGUUCAGCAUCUCAGUUUCAGCACGAUUCACGACAUGUUAGAGCAUUUCCGCCAGCAUCCAAUACCUUUGGAGACGGGUGGAACGGCCGAUGUCAAGCUCACUGAGUACGUGGUGGCGAACCUCGUGGUGCACGGUCAACCAGUCCUUCCUACCACUACCCUCAAUUCUUCGUCACAAUCAUCGGACGCGACGAUGCAACAAGAGCGCAGAGUGGUACCAUUGCCGGAGCCUAGAGAAGUAAGAGUCUACAGUGAGAAUCUUACUCCUCAGGAGUGAGCACCGAUACCGUACGAGACAGCCAGUGCACGCUUCUGUGUCUGUCUAUUUAAUUUUCCCACAGUCUGAUGUCGUGGUUUUUACAUAAACAGUACAAACUUUUGCUGGUUCAAUAAGACUUCGGACCGAAUCGCUCGAGAGAAUUGAACAACAGCAACUACAAGUACAACAGCAAC